rnacentral:pre_miRNA from 1 species
AUCUUUGUGUAAGUAUGUUCCAUGCAGUAUUUGGGAUAUACUUAUACUAAAA